AGAAGAGGAACCAUCAGAUGAACCCUAAAUCUGAGAAAUAAAGUGACGAGUCCCGGGUUUAUAUAGGAAGGGUGAAGAAAACCCUAACCUAGAUUUAUGUUUGGGCUUUUUGACUCGGUGUUUUUUAAAUAGGCCCAGUCAUAAUAAUGGUACUUGAAUUGAAGCCUAUUAGUUCAUAUUUAUAUUAAAUUACAAACAAACCCCAUAACUUAGAUUAUAUUACAAAAAAUACCCCACCUAUCCGUAAUUACCAAAAUUCCUGAGACAUUUGUUUCCAUCUUACACCGGGCCUUUACGGUGUGAUUUUUCAUGGAAUAUUUUUGUUCCAAUUAAUAUUUCCUUAGAAAUGUCAGUUGUACCCCUACAAUAAUAUGUAUCUUUAAAAAGUAAAUGAGGUGGAAUUGAAUUUUGCAGGAAAAUUUAAUUGUGAUAAAAAAAGUUUCCAUAAAAAAAUACAUCGCAAGGGGGUCGGUGUAAGAUAAAAACAAACAUCAGGGGAUUUGAUAAUUACGGAUAGUUGGGGGUAUUUUUCGUAAUUUAGUCUAAGUUCAUGGAGAGUAUUGUAAUUUACCCUAAAAUUUGUUGGUACUCGUAUAAUUCCGUAAUAUAUUAAAUUUUUAUCACUUUUUCACUAAUUGAUAUGAAAUUUAAUGAUGCACAUACAGUUAGUUAAACCAAUUGUGAAGUCAAAAAAUUUGCAAGUAUACAACAUAAAUUACAAAGUUUAUAAUAGCU